rnacentral:rRNA from 1 species
CUGGCGGCGCGUUUUAGCAUGCAAGUCGAACGGUAGAGGGAGCUUGCUCCCUUGAGAGUGGCGAACGGGUGAGUAACACGUAAGUGAUCUGCCCUGGGGAUGGGGGUAGCUCAUGGAAACAUGAGGUAAAACCGAAUAAGCUCGCAUUUAUUGAAAAUGGUGUGAGGAAAGGAGCUACGGCUCUGCCCCGGGAUGAGCUUGCGGCCCAUUAGCUAGUUGGUAGGGUAAAGGCCUACCAAGGCGACGAUGGGUAGCCGGCCUGAGAGGGUGACCGGCCACAUUGGGACUGAGACACGGCCCAGACUCCUACGGGAGGCAACAGCUAAGAAUCUUCCGCAAUGGGCGAAAGCCUGACGGAGCGACGCCGCGUGAACGAAGAAGGCAGAGAUGUUGUAAAGUUCUUUUCCUGUUGAAGAAUAAGUACAAGAGGGAAUGCUUGUAUGAUGACGUUAGACAGGGAAUAAGCCACGGCUAAUUACGUGCCAGCAGCCGCGGUAACACGUAAGUGGCAAGCGUUGUUCGGAUUCAUUGGGCGUAAAGGGCGCGUAGGCGGCGUAUCAAGCUUGGUGUGAAAUAUUUCGGCUUAACCGGAAAAACGCGCUGAGAACUGAAACGCUAGGAGUUUAAGAGGGGGAGUUAGAAUUCCAGGUGUAGGGGUGAAAUCUGUAGAUAUCUGGAAGAAUACCGGUGGCGAAGGCGAACUCCUGGCAAUAAACUGACGCUGAGGCGCGAAAGCGUGGGUAGCAAACAGGAUUAGAUACCNUGGUAGUCCACGCUGUAAACGAUG